CCCCGUUCCCCACCGCCAGGCCAGGCGCUCGUCCGGCGCCCGCCCGCUAGGCCUCCUCUGAGUGCCGGAGGAGAGCGGCCGCGCACCGGGCCCGAGCGCCAAGAUGGGUGCUUCCGAGGCGAGGCGAAUCCGGAGGCCAAUCUCCGGAAAGGUCCUGGGAGAGCCGGAGAGAGCGGAGCGGCGAGCCGGUGCAAAUCCUCACGCAAGGCCGGCCUAGCGCGAGGAGGCCCCGCGGGAAGGAGAGCGCCAGCCCACACGCUGUUAAUGCGCUUUGCAAACAGUGCAUAGCACAGAGGAAAACGUGGCGCCUUGAUUUAGCUUCCUCUCUAAAUACACACGAAAAUGAGCUUCUGCGCCUCGGAGCGGGGCGGGGAGAGGGUCUUAUUACAGAUACCUAAAAUGCUCCAAGGGCCGGGGCGCUGCCUCUCAGGCCACCUUCCUCCACCCUGGUGCAAGGAUCCCUCAGCACAACAGGGCACGCGGGGCGUUCUAAGAAUAUCCUGGAGCCUUCUAGUCUUGCCUCCAAGGCGUGGUGGGCUUAUUUGUGCGGAGAAGAAACGGUUCCUUUAAUGGGAGACCUUUGGAUGAAAUGCCAAAGCCAUUUCUAAAUUGGCAAAAUGAAGCUUCUUUUCUGAAAUAACUUGUCCCUGUUGAUAAUGUGACUAAAAUGGACAACAAGUACACCUGCCAGCAUGUUGAUUACAAAGUCCGCUCCCUGGACGAAAAUGUUUCACAGUAACACAUGGUCCCUGCCAGGGCCCUGAUGACCGGCUCCAUCCAGUUGCACAUUUUGAACACCCAACCAAAAUGCUUUUGUUACCUGUAUCUAUGAGUUUUUAUUUGUUCAUCUUGUUUGUUGCUGGAGGGAAAGGAGGGUGGAGGGGAGGCAGUAAUGAGUAAAGGGGGUCAAAUAUAUGGUGACAGGAAAUUUGACUUUGGAUGGUGAACGCACCAUGAAAUAUACAGAGGAUGUGUCACAGAAUUCCACACUGGAACCUAUAUAAUUUUAUUAACCAAUGCCACCCCAAUACAUUUAAUAAAAUUUAAAAAAUGCU